rnacentral:lncRNA from 1 species
AAGCGAAAGCAGCAAACACCACUUGGUUGCUGAAUUGUGCAGCCAUUAUGGAAAUGCACACCUGUUCAAUUGGUUUUGGGACAGUCUUCAUUUCGAUUAGGGUUUCGUUUCCUUCGAAGGUGGACCUGUUCUUGAGGGAAACUGGCUCAUAUCAUUUCAUGUUCUGGAAGUCUAAGUAUUGUGCCUACACAUCAGCACUUAUAACUUUGGAAAGAUGUUUUUGCACAAAGCACCUGAGUCUGAAAUUUGCAUGAAGCUCCCUUCUGGAGAAAUAAAUGUCUCAGGGGAAAAAAGUAAAAUAGAAUAAAAUGACAAAAAUGAUUUUCAAUUCUAAAGCUUGAACUCUUUUCCAGAGCUUCAUUUAGUUAACUUGCUGUCUGCAUAAUUAGUUCCAUUUUAUAACUUUCAGAAAUAAGGCCACAGGCUUAGGAGCUGAGAUCACAAAAGAGUGUCUAAAGUCAAGUGGCUUUCCUGCAUCUGUUACUCACCUCAGAAACACCCCAGCACCCAUAGCAGAGUGCUUGACAGAGAGCCCACAGUUAGGGUUGGAUAAGCCAGUACUGAGCACUGUCUGUGUUGGAAGCUGGAGAGAGUUUUAUCUCGUAAAGUUCGUUUUAUAACUUUCAGACACACUUUUGUAAAGUGCUGGCUGGGAUCUAAGGAUUGGCAACUGUUUGCCAAACCCGUUCUUUUCCUUCCUGGGACAACUAGUCUGCAGUUCUCACCGCCUUUGCAGCUCACUUAGUCACAUGAUAGAGUUCUAGCCAAUGGAGUGUCCCCAUCCUAAUGAGUCCCUUCUAGGACUCACAUUCUUUCUCCUUGCUGCAAAGCUCCCUGUUGAAGAUGGCAGAGACAGAGGAGGCACCGUCAGGGUCCCUGCACCUGCAUGCCUGUCUAUCUGGCACACCACAUUGGACUGUUAGGUGAUCAAGAAAACAAGCUCCCACUAUGCUAAGCCACUGGGACUGGGGUUUAUUUGUUGGACACCUGGCAUAACCCUAACUGAAAAAUCCACUUUAUGUUGUGUUUGGAAAAUGAGGACAAAGAAGCAAAAUAUCUCUAAUGAGUUCUCUGUGAAACUAGACUUGCCCUGAGGUGGGCUGCUUGUCUUGUUUCUCUGAGUGCCUUCAGUGGACCUUUGGAAACUGCUGCUGUUUUGGAGCAAAUUUAGGUAGUUUCAAUAGUAUGUUUGAAGUUUUUCUGUGUUAAAAUUGAAAAAAAUUAGUAAUUUGUGGAUGCAAAUUCUUCAUAGCUUUCACAACUGAAGAAAACUUUCCAGAUGUUUCACAAAGCACUAAAAUACUGUACAUUGUUUUCUUUUUCAAUGGGAAAUUAUUCAUAGAGCAAUAAAAAGUUGUUUUUUCAGUAAACAGAUUAUGUUUCAGUCUGCGGUGUGAACACUUAAAUGGAACGAUGCAAUAUGCCACUUUUUAAAAGAGGGGUUUAAACAUGUCAGUACAAACCUUUCAAUCCUCUGUCCCAUAAAUUCAACUUUUUAAAAUGAAAUCAACCUGAGCCCUGUGAAAGCUCAUACUACUAUAUCAAAACCAGUGAAAUUUGCCUGUUUAUCGCCACCUUUGGAAUGUGGCAAAGAAACAUUCUUUUCAUAUGGGACAAUUUCUUCAACUUUACACCAAGUGAAAUUUAAUUGCUUUUCACUUCCUGGAAUCAUUAGGCAUUAGUUCUCCUGGAGGUGAAGCAAAAAGAGAAGCUGAAAAAUAAGUCUCUGUUUAAUACAUUUCACCUUCGAAUUUUAUCCUUCUUCCCUCUCCUACUGGUUAUACAGCAAGUUUGAGCCUGGGAAGCCACUUCAGAAACCUUUAAGAGUUCUCAUCAACACAGAUACAUUGACACAAAGCAGUUCUUCACGUCUCAACCAAUACUGUCAGUGAAACAAUUGGAAUGUCAGGUUCUUUGAAGUUAGCUUUUCAGAAUUUUUUUCCAAGAUAGAGUCUUGCUCUGUCACCUAGGCUGGAGUGCAAUGGAGCGAUCUUGGCUCACUGCAACCUCCACCUCCCUGGUUCAAGCAAUUCUCCUGCCUCAGCCUUCUGAGUAGCUGGGAUUACAGGUGCCUGCCACCAUACCUAGCUAAUUUUUGUAUUUUUAGUAGAGAUGGGGUUUCACCAUGUUGGCUAGGCUGGUCUCAAACUCAUGAUCUCAUGAUUCACCUGCCUUGGCCUCCCGAAGUGCUGGGAUUACAGGUGUGAGCCACAUCGCCCUGCCGGAAUGUUUUUAUCUUUACAGAAAUGUAGUAAGUGCAGUAGCAAGUAAGCAAACAGAAGCCCGAGCAAAGCCUUCUUCAGGCUAUGGUUGUGUCACAAUGGAGGAACAAUAGAAUUGUACAGAACAAGUAUAGUAGAGUAAUUUAAUUCACAUCACAACAUGUCAUUUCACUCUUCAAAGGGAUUUGUGGGUUCUUUUAUAUUUAUUCUUUUUAUAUUUAAUGAUAAAUCGUAUAUUAAAGUUCCUCAUAGAGUAUUUGAAAGCAGAUUAUGGUAAUUACCUAACAAAGAGGAUGAGAAGGAAUAAAAUUAAAGACCCUUGUUAAAGUCACUGCCAGAAAUGUGGAUGAACACUCUGCAAAGACACGGAAGACGAAAGGAAAGCGGGAGUCAAUGAGAAGGAGCAUAGUGUGCAGGUCACAGCCAUGCUGUAAUGUGAGGUAUACUCAUGCUGCAUUGUGAAUGUCUUGUUUCACUCUUUGGGAUCCUCACCCCAUGAUAAUGUGCAAAAUGCUCAUGGUAAUUACAAGACAGGACACUGCUAAUAGCUGACUGAGACUGAAAGACUUUAACGUAAUAUCCCUCUUUGGGAGGUACCAAAGAUGAAUAUUGGAAAACAUAGGAUGAAAGUUGAAAAAUGUACAAAGGAGGAACAUAGCAUGACUUUUUCUUGGGGUAGAUAUGGAAGAAGAAAGAUGAUUAAGUGAGAGCAGCACUUUCUUUAUGGGCAAGAACUCCCAUGUGUACACAAAUUGGUUUUGUAGUUCAGUAGAACUGGAAUCUGAGCGUCCUACAAAUCUUGUUUUUUUUUUUUUUUUUUUUUUUUUUUCAAAACAGUGGCAACCAUUCUUUCUUAAUGGAUAACUACAUACUGCGUGUGUGUGUGUGUGUGCACAUGAUGAAUAAAAUUAUUAUCUCCCACUCAAGAGUUUUUAAAUGUGGAUAAUUUUGGUGCUAAAAACCCAAUUUGAUUAAAGUCUCUGUAUUUCACUAUGUUUGAUUAUCCAGAUAGCCAAUUUAUUGAAGAAGUAUUUUCAAGAUAGGACUAGAGGACGUAUUUUUUUUUAACUGUUUAUUAGCUUGAUCCAAAGCUUAUAAAUAUUCAGACCAGUGGUUUUGGGACCCCCACUGUACUCUUGAACUAGGUCACACAAUUGUUGGGGAACCCUGGGCCUCCUAAGUCUGCAACCAACCAAAAUCCCUUGGCUUCUUUAAUUUCUCUACCUUACAACCAAUAGACUGUAAAGAUUUUUCCCCUCUGAAACACCCUUUGAUCUGUACUGAAUUUCAUCUGAAUGUAAAGUUUCGUAAGGAGGGGUUUGGCCUUGUUAAAAACUCUCUUGCAUAGUGUAGGAAUGUUUUUUAAGGGCUUAUAUGUAGUUCUAAUCUAGGCAUUGGGGUAGUUACACUAGCCAAACAGACCUAAUCUUUGCAUUUUUGACUAAGUGGGCGGGGGGGCGGUGGACAUUGAACAGCAGGUGAUUUCAAUAGCUUGUUAGCGAUUUACUGUUAUGGUCAGUGUGAUGAAAGAUGCCUGUGGAAUCUGAGUGUAUAUGAGGUAGAGCUGGUAAAAACGUCCUCAAGAAAGUGACUCUUAUGCCGAAACUUCAAGGUUAAGUAGCAUUUGGCCAGAAAAACAGUCACAGGAAGCACCUUGGGUAGAGUCUUGGUUCAGGGUGGCUAGAGAUGGGCAGUAUGGCAGAAGAGGAGGCUGGAGCAGGUAAUUAGCUGGGGAGGAGCUGGUCUGCAGAAGGUAGAGUUCAGUGGUGGGAAGCUGGUGUCCAUUUCUGGAGCAAGAAGUUUGAAAGGGGCUUUACCUAACUAAAUAUUACUUGCAAAGAUUUUAGCCUGUCCAUCCUUACUGGAGUGGGUUUGGAGUUGGAGGGGAUGGUCCAUCAUUUUUCACCUGGGUCUGACCUAUUCUUUUUUAAUUUUAAUUUUUUUCAGAGAUAGGAUUUUACUCUGUCACCUAGGCUAGAGUGCAGUGGCAUGAUCAUAGCUCUGUGCAGCCUUGAACACCUGGGCUCAAGCAAUCCUCCUGCCUCAGCUUCUCAAGUAGCUGGGAUGACAGGUGAUAAUGACCAUGUCCAGCUAAUUUUUAUUUAUUUAUUUUUUUGCAGAGACGGGGUCUCACUAUGCUACCCAGGCUGGUC